rnacentral:rRNA from 1 species
GCGAGUGAAGCGGCAACAGCUCAAAUUUGAAAUCUGGCCCCCCGCGGGCCCGAGUUGUACUUUGGAGAGGACGCUUCUGGCGCGGCGCCGUCCGAGUUCCCUGGAACGGGACGCCGGAGAGGGUGAGAGCCCCGUACGGGCGGCCGCCUAGCCUCUGCGAAGCUCCUUCGACGAGUCGAGUAGUUUGGGAAUGCUGCUCAAAAUGGGAGGUAAAUUUCUUCUAAAGCUAAAUACCGGCCAGAGACCGAUAGCGCACAAGUAGAGUGAUCGAAAGAUGAAAAGCACUUUGAAAAGAGGGUCAAACAGUACGUGAAAUUGUUGAAAGGGAAGCGCCUGUGGCCAGACUUGCGCCCCGCGGACCACCCGGCGCCUCGCGCGCCGGGGCACGCCAGCGGGGCGCAGGCCAGCAUCGGCUCUCUCGGGGGGACAAAGGCCGCGGGAACGUAGCGCCCUCGCGGCGUAUUAUAGCCCGCGGCGCCAUGCCCCCGGGGGGGCCGAGGACCGCGCUCCGGCAAGGAUGCUGGCGUAAUGGCCACCGGCGACCCGUCUUGAAACACGGACCAAGGAGUCAAGCAUUGGGGCGAGUGUCUGGGUGGCAAGCCCGCACGCGGAAUGAAAGUGAACGCAGGUGGGAGCUUCGGCGCACCACCGACCGAUCCUGAUGUCCUCGGAUGGAUUUGAGUAGGAGCCCCGCCGCUUGGACCCGAAAGAUGGUGAACUAUGCCUGUAUAGGGUGAAGCCAGAGGAAACUCUGGUGGAGGCCCGCAGCGGUUCUGACGUGCAAAUCGAUCGUCAA